GAAACUUGAAUUUCUUCUUCAACAAAGAGCAUCCAACGACACACAAAUCUUGAAUCUCCAGCCGAUUUCCAUGGAUAGAACCUAAGCUUUCUUCAUCUUCUUAAAACAACAACAUCCUCCUCUCUGAUUUUCGAAUCAAGCUAAAAUGUCAUGAAAUAGUAGCUAAAGCUGCUGCCAGUUCCAGCUUAAAUCCAGCCUCUCUAGCCUUUAAAAAUCUGUCCAAAAACGCCUAAAAAGAUCACCAAACACCACUUCUUCUUCGCAAAUUUCAACAAACACUUCAGAGAUUCGACAAAAGAGUUUCGCCGUCCUAUUUCUGUCCAAGCUCAGUCGAGUUGAAUCCGGUCGAGGUCAUUGUCGAUGCUUUCCAUUUGAGAUCCUGUUCAUGGCCCUGUCCAUUUUGAGUGUUAAGGUUGUCCAUUGAUCAAGGAACAGAUUCAUUUCAAAGAUUCGGGUAUUGGAGAUAUCAGACUCGCAGAGUUAGCUUCUUGAUCGCGGGGAUUCAAGGUUGAGUUGUUUGGUCGUCGUAGUCCCUUGGAGUCCUUUCCUGUUUUAUUGUACUUUCAAUUUGUUAUCCGAACGGUAUUGUAUUUCAAUUUUUGAAAUAUUUCUAUGUAUUCAGCUA